UACGUAGGGGGCGAGCGUUGUCCGGAUUUAUUGGGCGUAAAGAGCGUGUAGGCGGCCAGGUAGGUCUGCUGUGAAAACUCGAGGCUCAACCUCGAGACGUCGGCGGAAACCAUCUGGCUAGAGUCCGGAAGAGGGAGAGUGGUAACUUCGUGGUGUAGCGGUGAAAUGCGUAGAUAUUGGGAGGAACACCAGUGGCGAAGGCGGCUCACUGGUCCGGUUCUGACGCUGAGGCGCGAAAGCGUGGGGAGCAAACAGG
rnacentral:rRNA from 1 species